GGGAGGCGAAACAUGCGGCCGACGAUGCUGGCGCCGCGGAGCCUGCGGAAGGCGGCCGUCCCGCCGGCCCUGCUCUCCGACCCAACGCCCGGCAUCCUCCAGCCCACCCGCCUCGCCAUCCACGUCAAUGGCGCCGGCUCCUCCUGCUCUGCCUACCUCGCCUCCGGCUGCCGCGUCUACAAGAUCGAGAUAAGCAUGGAUGGUGCAAUGCUGUCGAAAGGAAAGGAGAGCCUUUUGAUUCCUGAUAAUGCUCAGGUAGAGCUCCCUUGCUUCCUAGGCACUGUUGUUUCUCUUCCUCUUUCAGUUAUGCCUAUUGAAAAAUCAAUUCUCUAUGAAAGGUCAUAAGCUCGUCAAUUGUGAAUUGCUGCCCGCAUCGUUCUGAGAUUCAGAGUGUGGCUCUUGCAGAGGGUGAAGGUGCAGUAUUCAGCAUUUAAUGAUAACAUGGCAUUGGAUCUUAUUUUGUAGUUGCGUUACUCAUUUGGCAAUUGGUAUAAAAGAUAAUAUAGUAAUAUGAGUCAAAUAACCUCCAAAACCUAUUUUGAACUUUUGAUAUCUUAUCUUCCUGCUUUUGAGUUGGCAUAUCCAGCUUUACCGGAUGAAACUAAAGGCUAUUGGUAUCAGAGAGCGUGCAUGGAUAGCAUGACCAUACAUUAUGUUUUAGCUGGAGGGAAUGCUGUUAGAACUACAAUCUGCUUCAAAUUUUUCAACAAGCACUUCCUGCCAUAUUUAAAAAUUUCUGAUGAAUAUACUGUGGAUUUUUGGAUCUCCAUGGCUUGUAUCAAGGUUUUCUGUUUUUCCUGGCAUACUAGGUGAUAACUGCUUGAUCCUGGGAACAGUUGACUCGUAUGGUCACCUUAUUGUAUCUCGUUUGGACAUCAUGGCUGAUGGACAUCCUAUUCAGUACCACCUCGUGAUUGUGGUGUUGGGGAAGGCAGUUGGGCUGGGAUAUGCUUUAGCCCAACUCAGCGAUCCAUGGUAGCUGUUGCUCGCCAGUUAUGCAAGAGCAUUGACAUCUACGAUCAGGACUUUCAUGUUCGCAGUUUGCGCACGUUAUGGUAUCCAUCUUCAUUCAGCUUUGUUCAAUGCUCGCCACAAGUGAAUGAAAGCAAUUCUCUGUUGGCAAUUGCUGAAUGUUCUCAGCUGAGCAUAUGGGACUUAAGAAUGAACAACAAUGGGGGAUGUGUACAACGCAUUUCUGGAUCCAUUGGAGAUGUUAUAUAUUCCGUUUGUAGUUCGCCUUCAGGGCCAAUUGCUACUGGUGGAACAGACCGUGCUGUCACCAUCUAUGAUCCUCGCAGGUGGUCUGCUUUGUCAAGAUGGGUGGGCUGCUCCAAGUAUGAGGUUUGAUAUGUCACUUCUGAUCCUACUUCCUGCAGCUGAGAUCAAUGGCGGAGCUACGUGUGGGCCAAAGUGGGCCAUGCCCCCUCCUUCCUCCAUGCUAGCCUAUGCAUAUCUAUUUGCCUAAAUUGCUGUUACUAAUAAUAUAGAGAAGAACAGCAUAGGAAGUGGCAGAUCCAUGGAAGGGAGAGUGAGCUCAAGUACUCCAUACUGGUUGCUGGAUAAGGGAGCACCUCGCCUCUCUCCAAUUUCUAUUAUGGAUGGGAGUUCCAAAGAUAGAAGAAGAAGAGCCUCUGCUCGUUUUGACUAAACUGACUGAAAGGGUAAAAGAAUAGUCGUCUAUGGCAUGUAAAGAGUGAAAGAGUACUUGAGCCAUUGAACCAGUUCAUCCCACCAUUUACUCAAGCCCCAUUUAAUAAGCCAUACCUUAAUUCCAAAUCCUUUAAUCCAGCAGCAUUAGAUUAAUCAAAGUUGUGUGUGACAGGGUGUUGAGGCGAGGCUAUUAGCAUUACUGUGAUCACUGUAGCAACGCCCCCCCCCCCCCCUAUGUUCAAUGCUAGCUCCACCACUUGCUGAGAUAUUGGAAAUAUAGUACCGGGAGAAUUAUGAAAAUGGGAAAUGUGAACUACAUUUCAUUUUUCAUGCAAAUCACAGGGGUAAAUUUCAUCCACUUUAUUUCUUUCCCAUGCAGAUUACAGGCCUUUCAUUCUCAUCAGUUGACCAAUCUUUUAUCUACGUCCAAGGUGUUGACUAUGAGAUUACCUGUGGGUGUUGGAAAGAAAGUGAACGAGCAUUCUCAUUUCGAGGCGAUUCCAAUUGGUUGGGUUUUUCAAAGUGUGCCAAUACUGAUGUGGUGGCAGGGUGGUGCGAGUCCGGUAGUAUCUUCGUAGCUGAUGCAAGGCAGAGUAGGAGAUAAUUACCUUCAUCAUCUUCGUAGCUGAUGCAAGGCAGCUGUAGGAGACAAUUACCUUCAUCUGAUCUCCUGUAGCUCCGGAACAUUUGCUUUCUUUUUUUCAUUUCUUGAAGACAGUAACGGCCUGGUACGAACAUGAUCUGACUUCUUGAGUCACCAUCAUUCACGAACAUUCCCAAGAGGAAUUGUGCUCAACUCUCUAGUACUGAAUAGCUUGCAAAACUGAUGCUUACCGACCAUCCGAGGUCUUGAAAACCGUCGCGUCUUGUGUCAGAUCGAACGCAGCAAAUUGAAUUCAAUAGUCGCUCAAGAGGGUAUUGUGUUGUACAGUAUCACUAA